GUUUAAUGUGCUUCCCUGAAUUUUCCUCCCUUCAUGGGUUAAUUCUCUAGCACGGUCAAGGUGCAGAUUAUUGGUUCCCGAGUAUUAUUUGGAUACAAUGUUUUGAAGUGGGUGUGAUUGAGAGGUUGUCUCUGGGUUCUUCCUUUCCUCUGUCUCUUUCUUCGAAUGUAUAAGACAGAGGAGCUGAGCGACUGGCUAGCUUCUGUUUGACUGAUUUUCUUUUCUUUAUUUGCAUGUAUCAGAGAGCAAUAAAACGUGCGAAUACCAGGUCGGUGGCUGUGUUUUCCUUUAAACUACACAACGCAGAGUGAAACAGCGAGGGGAAGAUAACCUCC